AUGGACAGCUGGAGGGAGGAGGAACAGCCUGUGCUCCAGUAUCUGGAAGCCAGCCAAGUCGGGACAUGCCCCCCAACGGAGCACAUCACAGCAGGGGAACAGACCGGAAGACCCCUCGACACGGAGGACCUGGAAGUUAUGGCUAUGAGUUGAGGAAUCUGUGUUUGAUGUUCUGCCAUCCAUCGAAUGCUCUGAAACACCAAGGCUGCUGAGCCCAAGACUUAUCCUUAAGGAACGUUUGUAUUUCCGAGCGGCAGGUGCACAUGCAGAGCAGACUGUUGUAAGACUUGGCACGGUUUGGUGGUGGUUUAUGGGCCAGAUCCUCAGAUGGUGUAAAUGACUUCAGGGGAGCUACACGGAUUUGGAGAUCUGGCCUUAUGUCCCCGUUUGAUGAGAAAUGCAAGCAUCUCACAUGAAGGAGAUAAGGAUCUUGCAUGUAAGCUGAUGCUUUCAUGAAAUCUUGAGCAACUGAUUCUUGUAACUCCCAUGUGUGCUCCUUGCACCUUGGCGGAGGUGGGUCAUAGGGAUUUCAUACGCUGGAACCUCACAUGAUUACAUUUAAUGGAUUGAAAUAUCUCGCUUCCUUUGGAUUCUGCUGCCUAGGUAUUAUUAUGCUAGACCCCUUCAUUCAGGAGCCGGAAGCAAUCUGCUACAGCCAGGAAAGCCCCUCAAGGUCAUGUCCUUUAAAGAUCUUGGGACAGAUCCUCAUCUGGCAUAGGUGGACACAGCUGCAAUGACCUAAACAGCGCUACUUCCAUUUACUUCAGCUGAGGAUCUGGCCCAUAAUAUGUCAAUACAAGAUAAAUUAAGAUAAAUCACAUGACUUUGUAGCCCAAGCACGUAGCUGCUUUCUGACAACAUGGACUAAGGUCCUUAUGACUCAUGCUGGUUGAAACUUUUCAAAGCUUAAUGACAUUUUCAGGAGGGAAAGGAGAAAACAUUAAAUUGUCAUGAAGUCCCUCUCAUAUUUUUGACCAGCUCAAAUCAUGUUACAGAGAUGACACCGAUAUAUCAAAUUCCUUCUCCUGUCUGUCGCUUUCACUUAUGUGUAUAGAUAUGAAAGCUAUAUAUUUCUGUGUUUCUAUCCCCUGAGAUUUUUAGUGACUCUUACCUUCCCUGGUAACUUCCCACUCCUUAAAGAGAAUAAAACUCAUUAGAUCAAUCUAGAAAAGAUGAAGGUCUGAAUUAAUUCCCGUUGCAAUGGGGGCUUGUCUAAACAAGGAAGUUAGUGCUUAGUAAGCUAGGAUGUGGAUUGAAAGCGCACUAGCUACUCUGCAUUAACUCACCAUGUGGACACUCUUUCAGCACCCUCGGGCGGUUUAGCUUAAUGCACUGCCAAAAUGUAUUAAGUUAAUGCACACAAAGACUAGUGUGCACCAGCUAUUGCGAGCCUUUUCCCCAUCUAGGCUAGCCCUUAGCCUCUAC